rnacentral:rRNA from 1 species
UGGGGAAUUUUGGACAAUGGGCGAAAGCCUGAUCCAGCAAUGCCGCGUGUGUGAAGAAGGCCUUCGGGUUGUAAAGCACUUUUGUCCGGAAAGAAAUCCUUGGCUCUAAUACAGUCGGGGGGAUGACGGUACCGGAAGAAUAAGCACCGGCUAACUACGUGCCAGCAGCCGCGGUAAUACGUAGGGUGCAAGCGUUAAUCGGAAUUACUGGGCGUAAAGCGUGCGCAGGCGGUUUGCUAAGACCGAUGUGAAAUCCUGGGCUCAACCUGGGAACUGCAUUGGUGACUGGCAGGCUAGAGUAUGGCAGAGGGGGGUAGAAUUCCACGUGUAGCAGUGAAAUGCGUAGAGAUGUGGAGGAAUACCGAUGGCGAAGGCAGCCCCCUGGGCCAAUACUGACGCUCAUGCACGAAAGCGUGGGGGAGCAAAACAGGAUUAGAUACCCCUGGUAGUCCACGCCCUAAACGAUGUCAACUAGUUGUUGGGGAUUCAUUUCCUUAGUAACGUAGCUAACGCGUGAAGUCGACCGCCUGGGGAGUACGGCCGCAAGGUUAAAACUCAAAGGAAUUGACGGGG